ACGAACGCUGGCGGCGUGCUUAACACAUGCAAGUCGAACGGAAAGGCCCCUUUGGGGGUACUCGAGUGGCGAACGGGUGAGUAACACGUGAGUAACCUGCCCUUGACUUCGGGAUAACUUCAGGAAACUGGGGCUAAUACCGGAUAGGAAUCCUUGCUGCAUGGUGGGGGUCGGAAAGCUUCGGCGGUUUUGGAUGGACUCGCGGCUUAUCAGCUUGUUGGUGGGGUAGUGGCUUACCAAGGCUUUGACGGGUAGCCGGCCUGAGAGGGCGACCGGCCACAUUGGGACUGAGAUACGGCCCAGACUCCUACGGGAGGCAGCAGUGGGGAAUAUUGCACAAUGGGCGGAAGCCUGAUGCAGCAACGCCGCGUGCGGGAUGACGGCCUUCGGGUUGUAAACCGCUUUCAGCAGGGGCGAAGCUUGUGGUGACGGUACCUGCAGAAGAAGCACCGGCUAACUACGUG
rnacentral:rRNA from 1 species